UUGAACGCUGGCGGCAGGCCUAACACAUGCAAGUCGAGCGGUAGCACAGAGAGCUUGCUCUCGGGUGACGAGCGGCGGACGGGUGAGUAAUGUCUGGGAAACUGCCUGAUGGAGGGGGAUAACUACUGGAAACGGUAGCUAAUACCGCAUAACGUCGCAAGACCAAAGUGGGGGACCUUCGGGCCUCAUGCCAUCAGAUGUGCCCAGAUGGGAUUAGCUAGUAGGUGGGGUAACGGCUCACCUAGGCGACGAUCCCUAGCUGGUCUGAGAGGAUGACCAGCCACACUGGAACUGAGACACGGUCCAGACUCCUACGGGAGGCAGCAGUGGGGAAUAUUGCACAAUGGGCGCAAGCCUGAUGCAGCCAUGCCGCGUGUGUGAAGAAGGCCUUCGGGUUGUAAAGCACUUUCAGCGGGGAGGAAGGCGGUGAGGUUAAUAACCUCAUCGAUUGACGUUACCCGCAGAAGAAGCACCGGCUAACUCCGUGCCAGCAGCCGCGGUAAUACGGAGGGUGCAAGCGUUAAUCGGAAUUACUGGGCGUAAAGCGCACGCAGGCGGUCUGUCAAGUCGGAUGUGAAAUCCCCGGGCUUAACCUGGGAACUGCAUUCGAAACUGGCAGGCUAGAGUCUUGUAGAGGGGGGUAGAAUUCCAGGUGUAGCGGUGAAAUGCGUAGAGAUCUGGAGGAAUACCGGUGGCGAAGGCGGCCCCCUGGACAAAGACUGACGCUCAGGUGCGAAAGCGUGGGGGGCAAACAGGAUUAGAUACCCUGGUAGUCCACGCCGUAAACGAUGUCGAUUUGGAGGUUGUGCCCUUGAGGCGUGGCUUCCGGAGCUAACGCGUUAAAUCGACCGCCUGGGGAGUACGGCCGCAAGGUUAAAACUCAAAUGAAUUGACGGGGGCCCGCACAAGCGGUGGAGCAUGUGGUUUAAUUCGAUGCAACGCGAAGAACCUUACCUGGUCUUGACAUCCACAGAACUUAGCAGAGAUGCUUUGGUGCCUUCGGGAACUGUGAGACAGGUGCUGCAUGGCUGUCGUCAGCUCGUGUUGUGAAAUGUUGGGUUAAGUCCCGCAACGAGCGCAACCCUUAUCCUUUGUUGCCAGCGGUCCGGCCGGGAACUCAAAGGAGACUGCCAGUGAUAAACUGGAGGAAGGUGGGGAUGACGUCAAGUCAUCAUGGCCCUUACGACCAGGGCUACACACGUGCUACAAUGGCAUAUACAAAGAGAAGCGACCUCGCGAGAGCAAGCGGACCUCAUAAAGUAUGUCGUAGUCCGGAUUGGAGUCUGCAACUCGACUCCAUGAAGUCGGAAUCGCUAGUAAUCGUAGAUCAGAAUGCUACGGUGAAUACGUUCCCGGGCCUUGUACACACCGCCCGUCACACCAUGGGAGUGGGUUGCAAAAGAAGUAGGUAGCUUAACCUUCGGGAGGGCGCUUACCACUUUGUGAUUCAUGACUGGGGUG
rnacentral:rRNA from 1 species